UUAACUUGUUUGUAUUUCACUCAGACGGUACAGUUACAGUAGGGUUUCGUACCUCCGGCGGGCGGCCCCCCGCUCCCCUAGGGGGUAUGGAGGACCGCUGCCGCCGAAGCAACGCUAAUGGACGUGUUCACGGUGGUUAUAAGCAGCCUUUCGGCGCUCACUGUAAUGAUCCCUCCGCUGGUUCACCAACGGAGA
rnacentral:misc_RNA from 1 species